UGGGGGAUAUUGGACAAUGGGGGGAACCCUGAUCCAGCGACGCCGUGUGAGUGAAGAAGUAUCUCGGUAUGUAAAGCUCUAUCAGCAGGGAAGAAAGAAAUGACGGUACCUGAAGAAGAAGCCCCGGCUAACUACGUGCCAGCAGCCGCGGUAAUACGUAGGGGGCAAGCGUUAUCCGGAUUUACUGGGUGUAAAGGGGGCGCAGACGGCGAUGCAAGCCAGGAGUGAAAGCCCGGGGCUUAACCGCGGGACUGCUUUGGAAACUGUCUGACUGGAGUGCUGGAGAGGUAAGUGGAAUUCCUAGUGUAGCGGUGAAAUGCGUAGAUAUUAGGAGGAACACCAGUGGCGAAGGCGGCUUACUGGACUGUAACUGACGUUGAGGCUCGAAAGCGUGGGGAGCAAACAGG
rnacentral:rRNA from 1 species